GGACCGGAAGUGUCCAUCAGCCACUUCCGUCUGCUACUGAAAGGCGGCCUCAGGAAGGACCAUGGGGAGAAAGUCGUCUAAAGCAAAGGAGAAGAAGCAGAAAAGACUGGAAGAGCGAGCAGCAAUGGAUGCCAUCUGUGCAAAAGUGGAAACAGCAAACAAGCUUGAUGAUCCAUUAGCAUCUUUUCCUGCCUUCAAAAAAUAUGACAGAAAUGGAAUGAACAUAGUGAUUGAGUGCAAGCGGGUAGCAGAUAUGGACUCCAGCACUGUGGACUGGGCAGUGGAACUGACCAAGACCAACAUGCAGACCAUGUACGAACAGAGCGAGUGGGGUUGGAAGGAUCGGGAAAAGAAGGAGGAAAUGACAGACGAGCGAGCCUGGUAUCUGGUUGCAAGGGAAGGAGAUAGUGCGGUUCCAGCAGCUUUCUCACAUUUCCGAUUUGAUGUGGAGUGCGGGGAGGAAGUACUGUACUGUUAUGAGGUACAACUGGAGAAUCGGGUGAGGAGAAAAGGGUUGGGCAAAUUCUUAAUGCAGAUUCUACAGCUUUUAGCAAACAGCACACAGAUGAAGAAAGUGAUGUUAACGGUAUUUAAGCACAACCGUGGGGCGUAUCAGUUCUUCAGAGAGGCAAUGCAGUUCGAUAUUGACGAAUCGUCUCCUAGUGUGUCUGGCUGCUGCGGAGAUGACUGCUCCUACGAGAUACUGAGCCGGAGAACCAAAUAUGGGGAGCACCCGCAUGGCAGUCCGCACUGCGGGGGCUGCUGUCACUAAAGGAUCAACGUUGACCACCUCCCCACCCCAAUGACCUCCAACCACUUGUCUCCAACCAAAGUUCCCCUCCCAAAAAGAUCUAUAGCGACAUGGGAAAAUGGAAGCUACAUGAGUGUUCAACGUACUAGUUGUUGCAGCGCAUGGAACGUUGCAAAAAGCUUUGUUUUAAAGACUGCACCAGCUGCCCAUGACUCGAUUCCUGGAUUGUGACACCAAUAAAGGUUGAAUGUAUCCUGCUCCUUUUAUGCCCUGAUCUGAGGCUGCUGGCAUCAAACUACAGAUUCAAUUUCAGGGGAUUCUAAACUGAUUGUGCAGUCCUGGAACAUUUUGAGAACCUUGACCGUUUGGAUUCAAUGACUACCUCCCAGAUUUGUGCAAAUGGCGGGUGCUCUCGUAACGUGAACCAGAAUGUCAUUUCAAGAUGAUGUUGGGCUUCGUGUCUUUUUCAAAGAGAAUCAGAGACUGAAGUCUAAACGCCAAUUGGCCUUUGUAUGGUCACACUUCCCUCUGAUUAUCUCUUCAUUUCUGAAUCCUGUUCAACUCCAUUUUUACACGCUGGGUGUUAAUCCUGGAGGAAGCAGGAAGCAUACAAAAUGUCUAAAAUCAUCUGCACCCUCUGGUUGUGGGUCUUGUGUUUUUUUUUAUAUAAUUGGUGAAUAAACCUUUUUACUGUU